rnacentral:rRNA from 1 species
AUGAGGAAUGAGAUGGUGUGGAUGUGUCCAACCGACGACGAUGUGAGGAAUGGCCAAGUCGAGCAUGUCACUGAAGAGGCGUCCGAGAGGAGGCCCACUCACCUUGCAUGGCUGAAGGAUAAAAGAAAACAAUGGCCAGCAGCCGGCGACAGAGGGAAGAACCGCCGUGCCCGGAGGAGCGACGGGCUUCCUAUUUCCGUGUCGUGCCGGACCCGUGCGCACGCUAUGGCGACCACGCUGGAGAAGCUGAUGAGGGAGGAGUGCAGUGCGCCUGCGACGCCGGCGGGAGGUGUGCCUCCACCAUGGAGAUCACAUCGGCAUCAGGCCGAAGGCGGGAUCCGGGAACAUCGCUAG